CCUACGGGUGGCAGCAGUGGGGAAUAUUGCACAAUGGGGGAAACCCUGAUGCAGCGACGCCGCGUGCGUGAAGAAGUAAUUCGUUAUGUAAAGCUCUAUCAGCAGGUAAGAAAAUGACGGUACCUGAGUAAGAAGCCCCGGCUAACUACGUGCCAGCAGCCGCGGUAAAACGUAGGGGGCAAGCGUUAUCCGGAUUUACUGGGGGUAAAGGGAGCGUAGACGGCAGUGCAAGUCUGGAGUGAAAGGCGGGGGCGCAACCCCCGGACUGCUCUGGAAACUGUACGGCUGAAGUGCAGGAGAGGUAAGUGGAAUUCCUAGUGUAGCGGUGAAAUACGUAGAUAUUAGGAGGAACACCAGUGGCGAAGGCGGCUUACUGGACUGUAACUGACGUUGAGGCUCGAAAGCGUGGGGAGCAAACAGGAUUAGAUACCCGUGUAGUC
rnacentral:rRNA from 1 species